GCCACGCCCGCUACAGAAACUUUAAAGGAAGUUGACGGGGGCCCGCACAAGCGGAGGAGCAUGUGGUUUAAUUCGAUGAUACGCGAGGAACCUUACCUGGGCUCGAACGUAAGAUGACUGUAGGUGAAAGCUUACAUCUCUUCGGAGCAUUUUACGAGGUGCUGCAUGGUUGUCGUCAGCUCGUGCCGUGAGGUGUCGGGUUAAGUCCCAUAACGAGCGCAACCCCUACCUUUAGUUGCCAUCAGGUUAAGCUGGGGACUCUAAAGGAACUGCCUACGCAAGUAGUGAGGAAGGCGGGGAUGACGUCAAAUCAGCACGGCCCUUACGUCCAGGGCUACACACGUGCUACAAUGGCCGAUACAGAGGGCAGCUACCUGGUGACAGGAUGCAAAUCUCCAAAGUCGGUCUCAGUUCGGAUCGGAGUCUGCAACCCGACUCCGUGAAGUUGGAUUCGCUGGUAAUCGUGAAUCAGAAUGUCACGGUGAAUACGUUCCCGGGCCUU
rnacentral:rRNA from 1 species